rnacentral:rRNA from 1 species
AUUGAACGCUGGCGGCAGGCUUAACACAUGCAAGUCGAGCGGGGUGAUGGUGCUUGCACUAUCACUUAGCGGCGGACGGGUGAGUAAUGCUUAGGAAUCUGCCUAUUAGUGGGGACAACAUCUCGAAAGGGAUGCUAAUACCGCAUACGUCCUACGGGAGAAAGCAGGGGAUCACUUGUGACCUUGCGCUAAUAGAUGAGCCUAAGUCGGAUUAGCUAGUUGGUGGGGUAAAGGCCUACCAAGGCGACGAUCUGUAGCGGGUCGGAGAGGAUGAUCCGCGACACGGGGACUGAGACACGGCCCAGAAUCCUACGGGAGGCAGCAGUGGGGAAUAUUGGACAAUGGGGGGAACCCUGAUCCAGACAUGCCGCGUGUGUGAAGAAGGCCUUAUGGUUGUAGAGCACUUUAAGCGAGGAGGAGGCUCUUUUGGUUAAUACCCAAGAUGAGUGGACGUUACUCGCAGAAUAAGCACCGGCUAACUCUGUGCCAGCCGCCGCCGUAA